GACGUAGGGGGCAAGCGUUGUUCGGAAUUAUUGGGCGUAAAGAGCUUGUAGGCGGUUUGUCGCGUCUGCUGUGAAAAUCCGGGGCUCAACCCCGGACUUGCAGUGGGUACGGGCAGACUAGAGUGUGGUAGGGGAGACUGGAAUUCCUGGUGUAGCGGUGGAAUGCGCAGAUAUCAGGAGGAACACCGAUGGCGAAGGCAGGUCUCUGGGCCACUACUGACGCUGAGAAGCGAAAGCAUGGGGAGCGAACAGG
rnacentral:rRNA from 1 species